rnacentral:rRNA from 1 species
GACGAACGCUGGCGGCGUGCCUAAUACAUGCAAGUAGAACGCACAGUUUAUACCGUAGCUUGCUACACCAUAGGCUGUGAGUUGCGAACGGGUGAGUAACGCGUAGGUAACCUGCCUGGUAGCGGGGGAUAACUAUUGGAAACGAUAGCUAAUACCGCAUAAUAUUAAUUAUUGCAUGAUAAUUAAUUGAAAGGUGCAAUUGCACCACUACCAGAUGGACCUGCGUUGUAUUAGCUAGUAGGUGAGGUAACGGCUCACCUAGGCGACGAUACAUAGCCGACCUGAGAGGGUGAUCGGCCACACUGGGACUGAGACACGGCCCAGACUCCUACGGGAGGCAGCAGUAGGGAAUCUUCGGCAAUGGACGAAAGUCUGACCGAGCAACGCCGCGUGAGUGAAGAAGGGUUUCGGAUCGUAAAGCUCUGUUGUAAGAGAAGAACGGGUGUGAGAGUGGAAAGUUCACACUGUGACGGUAUCUUACCAGAAAGGGACGGCUAACUACGUG